GAUGAACGCUAGCGAUAGGCCUAACACAUGCAAGUCGAGGGGCAGCAUAGAGUAGCAAUACUUUGAUGGCGACCGGCGCACGGGUGAGUAACACGUAUGCAACCUACCUACAUCAGGGGAAUAACCCGGAGAAAUUCGGACUAAUACCGCAUAAUACAGGGAUGCCGCAUGGCAAUAUUUGUUAAAGAUUUAUCGGAUGUAGAUGGGCAUGCGUUCCAUUAGCUAGUUGGUGCGGUAACGGCUCACCAAGGCAACGAUGGAUAGGGGAACUGAGAGGUUUGUCCCCCACACUGGAACUGAGACACGGACCAGACUCCUACGGGAGGCAGCAGUGAGGAAUAUUGAGAGAUGGACGAUAGUCUGAACCAGCCAAAUCGCGUGAAGGAAGACUGCCCUACGGGUUGUAAACUUCUUUUGUACAGGAAUAAAAGACAUUACGUGUAAUGUAUUGCAUGUACUGUACGAAUAAGCAUCGGCUAACUCCGUGCCAGCCGCCGCGGUAA
rnacentral:rRNA from 1 species